AUGAACGCUGGCGGCGUGCCUAAUACAUGCAAGUCGAGCGAACGGACGAGAAGCUUGCUUCUCUGAUGUUAGCGGCGGACGGGUGAGUAACACGUGGAUAACCUACCUAUAAGACUGGGAUAACUUCGGGAAACCGGAGCUAAUACCGGAUGAUAUUUUGAACCGCAUGGUUCAAAAGUGAAAGACGGUCUUGCUGUCACUUAUAGAUGGAUCCGCGCUGCAUUAGCUAGUUGGUAAGGUAACGGCUUACCAAGGCAACGAUGCAUAGCCGACCUGAGAGGGUGAUCGGCCACACUGGAACUGAGACACGGUCCAGACUCCUACGGGAGGCAGCAGUAGGGAAUCUUCCGCAAUGGGCGAAAGCCUGACGGAGCAACGCCGCGUGAGUGAUGAAGGUCUUCGGAUCGUAAAACUCUGUUAUUAGGGAAGAACAUAUGUGUAAGUAACUGUGCACAGCUUGACGGUACCUAAUCAGAAAGCCACGGCUAACUACGUG
rnacentral:rRNA from 1 species